AUGGAGGUGAUCGUCUCUGCAGUUCUUGGCGAUAUUAUAAGCAGGUCCGUAUCCUUCCUCGUCGACAGGUACCACCGGCUGCAGGCCGGAGGAGCGGAAGAGAGCCUGCAACGGCUGCGCCGCCUUCUGCUGCGAGUCCAGGCCACCGUCGAGGAGGCCGAGCGGCGGCAGAUCACCAACCAGGCGAUGCUCCGGCAGCUCGAGAUGCUGAGGAACGACAUGUACAGAGGCUACUACAUGCUCGACGCCCUCACGUGCAUACGCCGCGGAGAAGGCGACGCCACGGCCAAAGAUGAGGUGAGCGACCGCUCGCUUAUGCUGUGCCGAUUCAGUCCCGUCAAGCGGCUCUGCCUCUCUGCCAGGGCGCCGAAGAACAUGGUGUUCGACGGCAACGAGCUCAGCAAAGCGCUUUGUUGCCUUGAGACGACUGUCGCCGACAUGAAGGAGUUUGUGGUGUUCUUGAAGUGCUAUCCUCUGCUGUGCCGGCAACCUUGCAGCAGCUACUUGUCUACGGACAUGUGCAUGUUCGGCCGUCACACGGAAUACGAGAGGAUCGUGAGCUUCCUGCUGCAGGUUGGCCCCCCUGGCACAGCAAAUUUCGGUGUUCUUCCGGUAGUCGGACCCGCAAGGGUCGGGAAGAGCACCCUCGUUGAGCAUGUCUGCUACGAUGGCAGGGUGCGCGGCUACUUCUCCUCGAUCGUGUUCCUCGGCGGGGAUGAUCUCCAACUCCAAGGCACGGAAGCGAAUGCUCUGCAAGACAGCGGUGUUGUCAAGUACAGAAACAGCGCUUCACAUGGGAGGCUGCUGGUCGUUGUGGAGCUGAUUGGGGAUUUGGAAAAGGAAAUAUGGAGCAGGUUGUGCUCUUUACUGAGCCAUAUGGCACACGGGAGCAAAGUCAUAGUUACAGGCAGGUCAGAGAGAAUCAUGCGGUUCGGAACAACCCAGGCUCUCAGACUGAAUGCUUUGCCCCAUGAAGCUUACUGGUACUUCUUCAAGAUGAUUGCCUUCAGAGACGCCGGCCCGGAGGACUAUUCAGAGCUAUCAUCCAUAGCCAUGGAGAUUGCAGCUGAGCUCAACGCCUCUUUCAUCAAUGCAAACAUAAUCGGCACCCUGCUGAGAGCAAAUCUCAGUGCCCGGUUUUGGCGCAAGGCUCUCGAGCGCAUCAGAGAGUUCACUGCCAAGCAUGUGCUCAUGUUUGGCGAGCAUCCGGUCGAUCUGAUGCGGAAAGGGCGGCCUAUAUACCUUUGGAGGAUGGCAGGCGGCGGUUCCGAAGUCCUUGUGGCCAAUGGUGUUCAUCAGGUCUGCUCUCCGCAGCAGGACGUUCCAAAGCUAACAUUGCUGGAUGUCGUAUCUGGAAGUGCUAUACCGCGUGGAAAUUGUGAAUUCCUAGCGUGGAAGUCUCGGAUACCCCCUUACUAUAGCUACCUGGUGAGCUGCAGCAUAAUGACAUCGCGGCGUAUGGUGGUGAACAAGAAGCGCUCUCGCUUGCAGAGUGUUUGA
rnacentral:rRNA from 1 species